UACGGGGGGGGCAAGCGUUGUUCGGAAUUACUGGGCGUAAAGGGCGCGUAGGCGGCCUGCUAAGUCGGACGUGAAAUCCCUCGGCUCAACCGGGGAACUGCGUCCGAUACUGGCGAGGCUUGAAUCCGGGAGAGGGAUGUGGAAUUCCAGGUGUAGCGGUGAAAUGCGUAGAUAUCUGGAGGAACACCGGUGGCGAAGGCGGCAUCCUGGACCGACACUGACGCUGAUGGAGCGAAAGCCAGGGGAGCAAACAGG
rnacentral:rRNA from 1 species